UCUAAAUACUCUAUAGCACUCCCUGCAAUCAAAAUAAAUUUGAAUGUAACCAUGCCUUUACAUGUUCUGGAUUCAUGAAUUGCAUAGAAAGAAGAUGCAAUACCAAUGGACGAAUCAGAAGAUAUCCCACUCCAGACCCUAAACCGAUUGUCAGGAAGAUCCACACAUUAUACGUCAUCAGUGACAUCACUAGUAAACAGCAGACGUAGACACGGAACACGUGUAGAAA